CCUGAUUGGACAGCAGCGGCGUGGGCGUGGCCGAGGAGGGCUUCUGGUUUCCACUGCUCGCGAGGCAGUGGCGGGUGCCGGCUCCGCGGCAGGGCGGCGGGGCGGGAGACCAUGCGGAAAGCGGUGUUGGUCACCGGGGCGAGCAGCGGCGUUGGCCUCGCCCUCUGCAAGCGACUGCUGGAGGAGGACCACGAGCUGCACCUGUGUCUGGCCUGCAGGAACAGGAGCAAAGCGGAAGCGGUCCGCGCGGCUCUGCUGGCCUCUCACCCCCUCGCCGAGGUCAGCAUCGUGCAGGUGGAUGUCAGCGACCUGCAGUCGGUGUUCCGGGCUUCCCAGGAGCUCAGGCAAAGGUUUCAGAGAUUAGACUAUGUCUAUCUGAACGCUGGGAUCAUGCCCAACCCACAGCUGAAUAUCAAAGCGCUUUUCUCUGGCCUCUUUUCAAGAAAAGUGAUUCAUAUGUUCUCCACAGCUGAAGGAUUGCUGACCCAGGAAGAUCAAAUCACUGCCGACGGGCUCCAGGAGGUGUUUGAGACCAACGUCUUUGGCCACUUCAUCCUGAUUCAGGAACUGGCACCUCUCCUCUGUCACAGUGACAGUCCUUCCCAGCUUAUCUGGACAUCGUCUCGCAAUGCGAGGAAAUCGAAUUUCUGCCUCGAGGACAUCCAACACAGCAGAGGCCAGGAGCCCUACAGCUCCUCCAAGUACGCGGUUGACCUGCUCAGCGUGGCUGUGAACAGGAACUUCAACUCGCGGGGUCUGUAUUCCAGUGUGGUGUGCCCGGGUACCAUGGUGACCAAUAUGACGUGUGGAAUUCUCCCUCCCUUUGUGUGGACACUGCUGAUGCCAAUCAUAUGGCUGGUGAGUGACAGACGCUUCUGCUCCUACUUUCUCUUCGACUUGGGACCCAAAAGCUUCGCUUUUUUGCAAAUGCUUUCACUCUGACACCGUACAAUGGAACAGAAGCCCUGAUGGACCUGGAUGAAGACACUGCUGAAAAUUUUUACCAAAUUUGCUAGAAUGUGAAACGCGUAUUAGGUCGACUGUUCACAUCUCAUAUCUGAAACUGAGGAUGAAGCUCCCUGAAACACCACCACCUCCCACCCACAUGCCGAGAGCUGCCAUGUUGUUAGUGGGAGCAUUUGUAGUGAACCAGCCCAGGUGCCCUGAGACCAUGGGGCACCUGGCUUUCACGGCCAGUUUCUAAGUGAUGCAGCUGUUGGGACCCAGAGCACGUUCACAGCAGGGGCAGGACGAUGGGAGGACUGGUGCCUAGUUCAUACAACAUCUAAUUAAGGAAAUUUUCUCCUAUAAGUCUCAGGAUCCAGAAAGUGUGAUAUGAGCACGUGGACACGAGAAUGAGAAAGCUAAAAUGGAGCCACGUGGAAAGGAAAGAGGUGCUGUUCCAAGUGCUUGCUGAAUCCUCAGAUAACUUCACAAGGUAAGGAACGUCUUUCCCAUUUUACAUGUGAGGAAACUGAGGCACAGACAGGUCCAGCAAGCCACCCAAGGCCUCACUGCUACUGGCUCAUUCUCGAUUUAUAGAUGAGCUUCUUGUCUUUUGUCUUCCCGUGUUAUGUUGGAACAUUCUGUGAGCUUGUUGGCCUUCCAAGCACCAGCAGCCUUCACCAGGGAGGAAGGGGUACACUGAGGAGCUGAGUUGAGGCUUCUUCUCCCCAAACCAAGCUUCAGAGGAAUUGGGGUCUUGAGGAUUUUCCAAAGCAUCUUGAAUCUCAUUGCGCCACCUGCUGGAGAGAAAGGAAGUAAGGCGAUUGCAAACCAGCAGCACCCGGGGAACCUUCCCAGAGGAGAUCUUCAAGAGUGGGGGGCAAGAGCACGAGACAGGAAGGUUCUGGCCACUCUCCAUGGAGACCCACAGGCCUCUCUGAGCAUUCUGACCUGCCUUCUUGCUUCUAGGAAGACGAGUUCCACUUUGAACUCAACUACCCUGUGCAGAGAGGCUGAUGUCCCUCUUCGUAUGAUCCCAUCUGACCUCGUCCCUGAAAUGGACAAAUUAAAGACAUCCUUGGCUUCCAAGAUCCAUCCGACUUCCCCUUCAUUAAGAAGAGAAACCUGGGAAUGGCUUCGCGGAUGCAAAGAAUUGAACUGGAAGCUCCCGGAGGAGAGUGGAAACGACCACGGAAGAGUAUCAGUGUCUCCUCACAUGCAGAAGACGGACAUUCCUUUCAGGCUCUUCCCUGUACGUCUCUCCCUCUACUCCCAUCUACUCCAUCUACUCCUCAUUUCCUCCAUCUUUGCACUGGAUGGCGGUUCACAGGCUGGGUUAUUUAUCCAAAGAGGUUACUGUUUGAGAAGCUAGAGUCCUUUCUUGAGAUUUGGAGCUUCUUGCCCUCACAUCCACUCCCUUCUUAAGGAGCCCCAGAGCCAGGGAUUCUGUUCCUGCCCAUGGCCGCCCAUUCUGAAAUUCUGUCACUGCCACUAUCAAGAAGUUUCCUCCACACCAACUGUCAUUCUUCGCGGGUUAGUUCAACACACACAUGCACUGAGAGUUACGCUGUGCUCAGUAGUUGGAGAGCUGUGGAGAAGGUAAAAAUAAUUCUUGCUUCGAGGAAGUGAAAAGCAGGUUGAGGGGAACUAGUGGGUAGAAAGAUGAAGAGAUUCCAAAAUUGAGUUUGUUCCCCUUUUUAAGGUAUUGUCUGUAAAGAAACAGGUCACAUGUUUGGGAAAAUUAUGACCAGAGAGAAAUGACUUCAAUAAAAGGCCAUCUGUUCUGGAA